UUGGCCCAGAUCGUUUACCGUGAAAAAAUUAGAGUGUUCAAAGCAGGCAGAUCCAAUUUUCUGCCACCGAAUACAUUAGCAUGGGAUAAUGGAAUAGGACCCUGUCCUCCUAUUUUCAGUUGGUUUUGGCAGCGCGAGGACUAGGGUAAUGAUUAAUAGGGAUAGUUGGGGGCAUUAAUAUUUAAUUGUCAGAGGUGAAAUUCUUGGAUUUAUGAAAGAUUAACUUCUGCGAAAGCAUCUGCCAAGGAUGUUUUCAUUAAUCAAGAACGAAAGUUAGGGGAUCGAAGACGAUCAGAUACCGUCGUAGUCUUAACCAUAAACGAUGCCGACCAGCGAUUAGGAGACGUUGAAUACAAAACACCACCAUCGGUUGCGGUCGUCCUUGGCGUCUCGGUUCGGCCGGGCGCGGGACGUUAGCCCGGACCCGAGCC
rnacentral:rRNA from 1 species